CCUUGUUUGAUGCUGGUUGCAUAUAUGUUGGUGUUCCACCUCUUUUCAAGGUUGAGAGGGGAAAGCAAGCACAAUAUUGCUAAGAUGAUGCAGACCUUAAAAAGAUUACAGCAGACUUCCCUGCAAUCGCUUCCUACAGCAUUCAAAGGUUCAAAGGUUUGGGAGAGAUGAUGCCUGAGCAGCUUUGGGAAACUACGAUGAAUCCAGAAACAAGGAUCUUGAAGCAACUCGCUGUUGAUGACAUAGCAGAAGCCAAUAUAUAUGACUUUAUCGUCUCUUACGGGUUCUCGGGUUGAUUUCCGGAGAGAAAUCAUAAAAAAUGCAGCGACUAGGAUAAAUCUGCAGCAUCUCAACAUAUAACAGGAAACGCCUGGAGAUUGGUGAAAGUAUAUUUUUCUUUCCACCUUUUGGAGACGUCAUCUUGAGAUUAUUUUAA